GAACGCACAUUGCACUCUUUGGUAACCCGAAGAGUAUGCCUGUUUCAGAUAUAAGUCACUAUGAACUCCGAGGGGGUGUUUGCCAACUCAGUUUUCAUGACUUGAACUUUCCAGACUCAUUACGCGUCUGGUGGUUUAAAAUAAAAGCAUGGACGGUCUUCUUGACUCAUCCGCACGCAAAAGUGUAAUACGAGCUGUCAAAGGCUUCAUUCACUUCUUGCUAGGACGUCAGAUGUAUCGAUUUAAUCCAUGGUCGCAGGAAAUCUGGGGACUACGCAAGUAGAACCUAUCCAUAGCGGCAUCUGAAAUCAGGUAGGACUACCCGCUGAACUUA
rnacentral:misc_RNA from 1 species